UACAGAGGGUGCAAGCGUUAAUCGGAAUUACUGGGCGUAAAGCGCGCGUAGGUGGUUCGUUAAGUUGGAUGUGAAAUCCCCGGGCUCAACCUGGGAACUGCAUUCAAAACUGACGAGCUAGAGUAUGGUAGAGGGUGGUGGAAUUUCCUGUGUAGUGGUGAAAUGCGUAGAGAUCCGGAGGAACACCUGUGGCGAAGGCGGCCCCCUGGGCCGCACCUGACGCUGAGACGCGAAAGCGCGGGGAGCGAACGGG
rnacentral:rRNA from 1 species